AACGCACCUUGCGCCCCUUGGUAUUCCGAGGGGCAUGCCUGUUUGAGUGUCAUUAAAUUCUCAACUCUGAUUUGAUUUGUUUCUUAUCGGGGCUUGGACUUGGAGUGUGCUGGCAAUCUGGUCGGCUCCUCUCAAAUGCAUCAGCGGAAUCUAACCUUUGAUUUCCGGAAGUCGGUGUGAUAAUUAAGUUGCGCCGUCAUUCGACUUUGAAGUCCGCUUAUAAUGGUCUUCGGACAACUCUUAUAAAAUUUGACCUCAAAUCAGGUAGGACUACCCGCUGAACUUAA
rnacentral:misc_RNA from 1 species